rnacentral:rRNA from 1 species
GAUUAACGCUAGCGGCAGGCAUAAUACGUGCAAGUUGAACGGCAGCACAGGUAGCAAUACUGGGUGGCGAGUGGCGCACGGGUGCGUAACACGUAUGCAACCUACCCUAUACAGGCGAAUAACCUUUAGAAAUGAGGGCUAAUACGCCGUAGUAUUACAGAUGGGCAUCUAUUUGUAAUUAAAGAUUUAUCGGUAUAGGAUGGGCAUGCGUCCCAUUAGUUAGUUGGUAAGGUAACGGCUUACCAAGACGAUGAUGGGUAGGGGAUCUGAGAGGACUUACCCCCACACUGGUACUGAGACACGGACCAGACUCCUACGGGAGGCAGCAGUAAGGAAUAUUGGGCAAUGGCCGCGAGGCUGACCCAGCCAUGCCGCGUGCAGGAAGACGGCCUUAUGGGUUGUAAACUGCUUUUAUACGGGAAUAAUAGAGUGUACGCGUACAUUUAUGCAAGUAUCGUAUGAAUAAGCAUCGGCUAACUCCGUG